rnacentral:snoRNA from 1 species
ACAAGCUUACUUGAACAUGAUUUGUUCUACAGGCUCGUACAAUUGUGUCCUUGAGUUCUCUUCUUGUAAGAACUUGUUUUUUGUUUGAGGUAUUCAUGUCAAAUA